CAAAAUAAUGAACUGGGUUUGCUGGAGAAAAUAUGAGGCCGAGGGAGCUUGAUCCUUUGCGUACACAGUUGGCCAGUGGGCUUAUGAUAGAUCUGAGGUCCUCGGGGAGAUGAGGAGCACGGGCAGUUCUCAGAGCUUCUGGCAAUCCACAAGGACAUCAUUUCUACUCUGCAUGGUCUCUUCAAGUCUUGGUUGAGAAAUAUUAACGUGAUAGAAAUUACUCUGUCCUUAUCUCUGAAGGGGCUGCAUUGACCAAACAAUCCCAACCUGAGCUAAAUCUUCUAAUAAAACUAAAUACAAAUGGGAGCCAGAGAGCAGUUAUUAUUCAAGACCUAAAAUGGAAGAGAAGAAGAAAAAAAAAAAGGAAGAAAGUAGAAGGAAAGAAGGAAGAAAACAGACAAUUAUUCAUUCAUUGUACACACACCAAGUAUGUGUC